rnacentral:rRNA from 1 species
CAUAGGUUAAUGAGGCGAACCGGGGGAACUGAAACAUCUAAGUACCCCGAGGAAAAGAAAUCAACCGAGAUUCCCCCAGUAGCGGCGAGCGAACGGGGAGGAGCCCAGAGCCUGAAUCAGCAUGUGUGUUAGUGGAAGCGUCUGGAAAGGCGCGCGAUACAGGGUGACAGCCCCGUACACAAAAGCGCAUGUGCUGUGAGCUCGAUGAGUAGGGCGGGACACGUGGUAUCCUGUCUGAAUAUGGGGGGACCAUCCUCCAAGGCUAAAUACUCCUGACUGACCGAUAGUGAACCAGUACCGUGAGGGAAAGGCGAAAAGAACCCCGGCGAGGGGAGUGAAAAAGAACCUGAAACCGUGUACGUACAAGCAGUGGGAGCACAGGUUUACCUGUGUGACUGCGUACCUUUUGUAUAAUGGGUCAGCGACUUAUAUUCUGUAGCAAGGUUAACCGAAUAGGGGAGCCGGAGGGAAACCGAGUCUUAAUUGGGCGUUAAGUUGCAGGGUAUAGACCCGAAACCCGGUGAUCUAGCCAUGGGCAGGUUGAAGGUUGGGUAACACUAACUGGAGGACCGAACCGACUAAUGUUGAAAAAUUAGCGGAUGACCUGUGGCUGGGGGUGAAAGGCCAAUCAAACCGGGAGAUAGCUGGUUCUCCCCGAAAGCUAUUUAGGUAGCGCCUCGUGAAUUCAUCUCCGGGGGUAGAGCACUGUUUCGGCUAGGGGGCCAUCCCGGCUUACCAACCCGAUGCAAACUGCGAAUACCGGAGAAUGUUAUCACGGGAGACACACGGCGGGUGCUAACGUCCGUCGUGAAGAGGGAAACAACCCAGACCGCCAGCUAAGGUCCCAAAGUCAUGGUUAAGUGGGAAACGAUGUGGGAAGGCCCAGACAGCCAGGAUGUUGGCUUAGAAGCAGCCAUCAUUUAAAGAAAGCGUAAUAGCUCACUGGUCGAGUCGGCCUGCGCGGAAGAUGUAACGGGGCUAAACCAUGCACCGAAGCUGCGGCAGCGACACUCAGGUGUUGUUGGGUAGGGGAGCGUUCUGUAAGCCUGUGAAGGUGGCCUGUGAGGGUUGCUGGAGGUAUCAGAAGUGCGAAUGCUGACAUAAGUAACGAUAAAGCGGGUGAAAAGCCCGCUCGCCGGAAGACCAAGGGUUCCUGUCCAACGUUAAUCGGGGCAGGGUGAGUCGACCCCUAAGGCGAGGCCGAAAGGCGUAGUCGAUGGGAAACGGGUUAAUAUUCCCGUACUUGGUGUUACUGCGAAGGGGGGACGGAGAAGGCUAUGUUGGCCGGGCGACGGUU